UCUCUCUCUCUCUUAUAUAUAUUGUGUGUGUGUGUGUGUUUAUUAUGUUACAUAUUAAGGUAUAUUGUGUGUGUGUGUUUAUUAUGUUAUGUAUUAAGGUAUACCACGUUUCUUCUCGCCUGACUCUAUAUACAGAGGUACAGUAUACAUUGUGUGUGUGUACUCACCUAGUUGAGGUUGCAGGGGUCGAGUCCUAGCUCCUGUGUGUGCAUACAUACAAUGAGUGUUUUAAUCGCCAUUACCAGUAUUAGUGACCUCGACUGGUUGUGUACAUGUUACUUGCCCCCUUAACAGCCAUCAAGCUUAAUUACCUCCCAUUCCCCUGGUACUGAGUGAACUUGUACAUGUUUAGUGCUUCCCCCUCGACCACCACAACAAUGUCAAUAUCGGAAACCACAAAACACUUAUUAUUGCACGAUAAUUUGUAACCUUCUUACCAACCUCCCAUGAAGUACAGUUUUUUAAGUCGUACUUCAUAUGUUUUGUAGUAGUUUGGAGAGAAAGUUUUUUUGUCAUCUUCCUGUGUUGUGUGAUGAGGGUAUUAUGUUACUGUGAGUGCCCACUCUGGGCAUCACUGGCUGGGCAACCAGAGACUGGGUCGCUACCAGGCUUCAAGUGUCACCUUUGACUGCUUCGUCACAUCUCGUGAAUUGUUUCAAAUGCUUGGUAACACUGGUAGAUAUCUGCAGUGCUUGGUAAGACUGGUAGAUAUCUGCAGUGUUUGGUAA